GGAUCAGUAGUGUAGUAGUUAACACACCCGAUCCAGAGACGCGGGUUAGAAUCCUGCCUAAGCCG
rnacentral:tRNA from 1 species